rnacentral:lncRNA from 1 species
UGAUGAAUGUACAAAAUUCUGAAUAUCUUAAAAUGGUCAUUUAAUUGAAAUGUAUGUACACUCUUGAUGGUUAAAACUCAUACAACCAGAGGGGUAGAGUUCACCUAGAGUCAAAGGGUAAUAUUCAAGAGAGAGGUGAAGGGGAAUAGACUAUUAAAAAGAUGAUCUCUGAGCAAGCAAGGGAGAAGAGGGCCUCAGAUGAAUAGGAUUCAACCCCUGGUUAGCUUCAUACAUGACUGUCCAUAGUAGGGAGACCAGGAUUAAGAGCCACAGCUUAGUCUGAGAGCAGACUCAGAACUGGAUUCUGCUUCUAGAAGGGGAGUGCACAGAUUCACCAAAGUGAAAGAGCUGGUAGCCAAGGUUGAGGCCAAAGCCGAGGUUGACCUACUGCAGAGCUCUAGACUGAGUGACUGUUGCCUCUGAUAGCAGUAAAACUGACAGAUGUCUAAUUGACUUUUUUAAGGAGCAAAGGAAAACAAAAUUUGGAUAAACUGACAUAGCUUUUAAACAUCAGUAGACACUGAAGCCAAAAUUUACUGGUAAAUUUAUAGCGUGGUAAAUGGUGAUCUUUAAAUGGUGUCAAAAUAUUAGAUGAAUUCAUUAGACUAUUCUAAUGCUCAUGACCACAUUUUAACAAGAAAAGUAAUUCUCUGCAGGGGUAUUCGGUUAGUAAUUUGUCACUUAAGAACACGUGGGGUGUUAGCCCUGAGCUUAAUAUAAAAGUGAGAAUAGGGUUGUAGUGAAUUUUGGGGGGACUUAAACCUAGAAGUUAUAAUGAUAAAUUCAAGCUUUGUGCUCCGUAUUCAUGUUCUUGUUUUCCUCUAUGUAUUCCUAGAGAUGAGCCGUGUAGACAGUACCUCAAAUACAUCCUGAGGACCUAUGCAGGAGUCUAGGGCCCUGGCCAGGUGCUGGGACUUAAAUACUAAAUCCAGUAGGUGGGCUAUAUGCUAACUCUUCUAGUAACACAUGGCAGCACUUGGAGGUGCUUUAUGGAGGGCCUAAGCUGAACCUGGACCGAUGUCUGAGUGGAAGGCAGGCAACUGAGGCAAACAAGGACACCCCUGUUCUGCUCAAGGAAUGAUUGCACAGUGACAAGGUAAGAAUCCAAUCGAUAGGAUUCGGACUUUGAUUUUUCUGUUCUUUGAUGUUUCUCUUUUUUUCCGCUACUGUUUUAUCUGUUCUAGUGAUGCCUUAUUUGAAACUGGGCUUUAAGAACUGUGAAAAGGAAGAAAUUAGAUCUAGAAAGCUUUUAGGCUAUGAACUAAUUAGGCUUUUUUUUUUUUUUUUCUUGUGGUAUAAAGAUUUUAGAAAUCAUGAAUGGAAUCAUUCAAGUGCUAAUAACAAGAAUGAAAAUUAUAAUGCAGUAGGCCAAAAUAAUAUACCAACUAGUUUAUUAUCAUAGCCUAUUAUCAUUAUUAAAGUAAAAUAGUUUUGAAAUACUAUAUACAAUUUUAGGUUUUUUAAAAAGAUGUUAGUAACUUUAGAAAUGGAGAAUUUAAACAUAGAAGUGGGGGAAAUUUAUUUCUAUAAGGUAAUUUUUAUCUUGAUAAGGACUAUUUUUUAAACAAGUGUUUUGCACCUGAAAUUUUAAAGUAAACAUGUUAAUACAGUUAGGAAAGUAAAAUAAGCAUUAUACCAAAUAGUAGACUUUUUUCUGGUGUGUAUUUUUCUCCUAGUGAUGUAAAAUAGGAAGGAGAUACUGAAUUAUGAAAACUGGAAUAAUGAAGGACACUAGAUGGCUAUAUUGGAGCCACCACAUUUAUAAAUCUACAUUGGAACUUUGGAUAACCUUUCUUGGACUUGAAUUAUGACUCUGAAAUUGGCCAAAUAAUUGUAAUCUUAUUAAAAAUACCAAUGACAGAAUUUCUAACAAAGGGUUUUUACUAGGCAAACAGACAAGCAUCCUUAGGCAUAAAGGAUCUCUAACUGCAGUUUAAAGAAACUUAUUUUAGGGAAGUUUCCCACACCCCAAUCCCCAUCCCUAAAAAAUUAGUUGGAAUGAUACUGCUCUUGCCUUUUCAAUUCAAAUCAGUUGGGGAGUUACUGUUUGAGUUCUGUUGCUGCCAUGAUUCCUCAAAUUAGUGUGAACAAACCAAUCUAUAUAACACGCUACCUUUUUUGGUCUCUUCAGUUUUGUAUACAAAUCAAGACAAUAUUAGGAUUAGAGCUGAAUGAACUUAAAUUCUCAGUCUUGUCUAUUCACUAAAAAAGAAUACUGUUUUUUUUUUUUCCAGUUUAUUCGAGGCUAAUGACUUUUGAGAAUGUGUUUUAUACCAUGUAUGUAUAUCUGUUUAAAUUAAAACAAGUGCCCUGAUGCUACUCCACAUAAAUUAUGCUUAAUCCUCCAUGGAUUGAGGAUGAGUUGUUGAUGGAUUACAGCCUAUUUCAAGAGAGGGGGGAAUUGGUUAAUAGCAGCUCCUUUUCUUCUGGGAUCUGUUUGUGAUAUUAUUAAUAAGAUCCUGUAUGUGUUGAGAUCUAGAGGUGCCAUUUCAUUUGUCUUUUAAUAAACUGUUAUGCUAAUAAAAUAUUACUGUGUAUACAUU